ensembl:snRNA U6 U6 spliceosomal RNA
GUGCCCACUUUAGCAACAUAUGGACUAAAACUGGAAUGAUGGGGAGAUUAGCAUGGCCCCUGCACAAAGAUGACAUGCAAAUCUGUGAAGUGUUCUAUAUUUAA